AAGGAUUAGAUACCCUGGUAGUCCAUGCUGUAAACGAUGUCUACUGGUUGUCGGUGAUCUUAGAAUCAUCGGUAACGAAGCUAACGCAUUAAGUAGACCGCCUGGGGAGUACGGCCGCAAGGUUAAAACUCAAAUGAAUUGACGGGGGCCCGCACAAGCGGUGGAGCAUGUGGUUUAAUUCGAAGCAACGCGAAGAACCUUACCUGGCCUUGACAUCGUGCGAAUCUUCUAGAGAUAGAAGAGUGCCUUCGGGAACGCAUGGACAGGUGCUGCAUGGCU
rnacentral:rRNA from 1 species